UGGACGUACCUCUGGUGUACCAGUUGUUCUGCCAAGGGCAUGGCUGGGUAGCUAUGUCCGGAAUGGAUAAGCGCUGAAAGCAUCUAAGCGCGAAGCCAACUUCAAGAUAAGAUUUCCCACCGCAAGGGUAAGCCCCCAGAAAGACUAUCUGGUUGAUAGGUCGAAGGUGUAAGUGCAGCAAUGUAUUUAGCUUAUCGAUACU
rnacentral:rRNA from 1 species